UGUGUGUGUGUGUGUAUAUAUAUAUAUAUAUAUAUAUAUGUAUGUAUGUAUGUAUGUAUGUAUGCAUGUAAUCAUAAACCUGAUUCGAACAAAAUAUAAAUACAACAUAACAAUCUUUGACUAUGACCAACAUUUAACUUCUAUUGGCUGGGUCCACUGAAUAUCAAUGCACGACCCCCACUGACAAGGUCUACUAAAUACCAAUACACCCCCCAC
rnacentral:lncRNA from 1 species